rnacentral:rRNA from 1 species
AUUGAACGCUGGCGGCAUGCCUUACACAUGCAAGUCGAACGAUGAAGCCUUUCGGGGUGGAUUAGUGGCGAACGGGUGAGUAACACGUGGGCAAUCUGCCCUGCACUCUGGGACAAGCCCUGGAAACGGGGUCUAAUACCGGAUACGACCUGCUCCUGCAUGGGGGUGGGUGGAAAGCUCCGGCGGUGCAGGAUGAGCCCGCGGCCUAUCAGCUUGUUGGUGGGGUAAUGGCCUACCAAGGCGACGACGGGUAGCCGGCCUGAGAGGGCGACCGGACAGACUGGGACUGAGACACGGCCCAGACUCCUACGGGUGGCAGCAGUGGGGAAUAUUGCACAAUGGGCGAAAGCCUGAUGCAGCGACGCCGCGUGAGGGAUGACGGCCUUCGGGUUGUAAACCUCUUUCAGGAGGGAAGAAGCGCAAGUGACGGUACCUGCAGAAGAAGCACCGGCUAACUACGUGCCAGCAGCCGCCGUAACAC